rnacentral:rRNA from 1 species
UACGGAGGGUGCGAGCGUUGUCCGGAAUCACUGGGCGUAAAGGGUGCGUAGGCGGCCGCGCAAGUCUGGCGUGAAAGCCCCGGGCUCAGCCCGGGAAGGGCGCUCGAAACGGCGCGGCUCGAGUGCCGGAGGGGAGAGUGGAAUUCCUGGUGUAGCGGUGAAAUGCGUAGAUAUCAGGAGGAAUACCGGUGGCGAAAGCGACUCUCUGGACGGCAACUGACGCUGAGGCACGAAAGCGUGGGGAGCAAACAGG